rnacentral:rRNA from 4 species
GAACGCAGCGAAAUGCGAUACGUAGUGUGAAUUGCAGAAUUCCGCGAAUCAUCGAGUCUUUGAACGCAAGUUGCGCCCGAGGCUUGUCCGAGGGCAUUUCCGCUAGAGCGUCACC